GUUUAAACGUAGAUUUUUUUCUAGGGUGAUGCGUAAAUGUAUGUCCUUGAAUUGCAAUAUAAAUAAGCUUACCUGAUCAGAAUUGUGUGAAUACCAUUUUCUCUCUUGUUAUGCUAUAUGCCUGUGAUUACUGGCUUUAAAGAAAUGGUUAUCCUUAGAAUUAUGUUGAUUUUCGGCCUUGUCCUUCUGACAAAUGCGCAAUUAGACAACAUCAAACAGAUCGACAAACUAAAGAAAGGAAUUCUUGUAAAAGUCAACCAGGAUUCUACUAUCUUAAGCCGGAAAAGACGCCAUUAUUACGGAAACUGUCUGGAUAUCAAAACAUGGUACACUAAUGAUGGGAACGGAAACACUGUAUUUCUCGAUCGUCAAACUCCCGAUUGUGGAUUAACAGCUAUGAGGUCAUUCCACUUAGUUCGAAAUAAUGCUGGUAGCCAUGUGAGAUAUGAUGUAAGCUGUUGCAAUCUUCCACUGAAUUUUAAAUGUAGUACGGAAAUAUUGAAUACCCCAUUUAACAACGAUGGAAAUGGCAAAGUUGCUUUUUUAGAUCGCCAGUUUGUGUCUUGUCCACAUAAUGGAUUUAUUAAACGCUUCCAUUUAAAUCGUCAGCUACCCAGCAAAUAUCGAUACACUUAUUCGUGCUGCACCCCUGAAUCUACACAACGGCAUAAGAUGAACUGCUACUAUAAUCCCACCCCAAGUAGUCCUGCUGGUCAUGGAAAUAUGGUGUACCUUGACAAACAUAGACCAACCUGUCGACCCGGGUAUUUCCUAAAUAACUUUAGACUUGUUCAUCCAACUCUUACAACGAUGAGGUACAAUUACAGAUGUUGUGCCUUUCUUCCACAAUAAUCAUUGAGAAUAAAUGUGUACCUCUUCUGCAUUGCAGUGUCAGCUGUAUACUGUCCAUAUCUACUAUAUUUGGAUUUGCUUAGUAAUUUGAAUUGUCUUUGCAGAAAUAGGAUGUUUAGAUAUUUAAAUUGUGUUUUAAAAAAAUGUGUUAUGAAACAAUUCCUACGUUAUAAUACUUAAAUGAUAGAUGUACGAUCUGCUCUGAAUAAAUUGAUUUUAUAUUUU